rnacentral:rRNA from 1 species
CAAUAGCGUAUAUUAACGUUGUUGCAGUUAAAAAGCUCGUAGUUGGAUUUCUGGAGGGAGCGUCGGCCCGUAUUUACGAGUGCGUGACGUCUCUGUCCAUCCUUGCGGGAAGGCACGGCCUUGAUUUGUUGUGUCGGAUCGCAUCAUUUACUGUGAAAAAAUUAGAGUGUUCAAAGCAGGCUUUCGCUUGAAUACAUUAGCAUGGAAUAAUAAGAUAGGACUUUGGUGCUAUUUUGUUGGUUGAGCCUAAAGUAAUGAUUAAUAGGGAUAGUUGGGGGCACCUGUAUUGCGUUGUCAGAGGUGAAAUUCUUGGAUUUACGCAAGACAAACAGCUGCGAAAGCGUCUGCCAAGGAUGUUUUCAUUAA